rnacentral:rRNA from 1 species
AUGGCAUACAAGAAGUUGAGCGACUUAACUACAAGGGGACAGAAUUGGAAUAUUCAAGUGAAAGUAAUAAGAAUGUGGGAUUCAGUGAAUCCUACGACCGAUGAGCUUAUUAGCCUAGAUAUGAUACUGAUGGAUGAGCAGGGUGAAACAAUCCAUGCUACUAUCUGGAAGAAUCUUAUAGACACUUUUAGAUCAAAGAUCAAUGAAAAGUCUAUUUAUGCAUUCAGCAAUUUUAAGGUCGUGGAAUCCACAAAAUAUAGGCCAGUGAGCAAUGAAAUUAAAAUAUUUUUUACAUACAAUACAAAGGUAAAGGAAAUAAAAGGAUCUUCGGAAGUUUUCCCGGAAUAUUGCUUCGAGUUUGCUACCAUGGACACACUAGAAGAAAGGGCGGAAAAAGAUACACAAUGCUCAGAUGUCAUUGGACUACUAACUCAAAUGAAGCCAGUGGAGACAAGAAUAACAAAAAGGAACCCACAACCUUCAUAUAUCCGUGAGAUUGAAAUCCUAAUGCCAGAGGGUGAUAAAAUCAAAAUCACGUUGCUGGGAAAGUUUGCUUAUUUUUUGACCGAGGAUGUAAUCGGCAGCCAAACUGUCCUUAUUAUCACAUCAAUGAUGGUGCAGAGAUUCAGUGGUUUGUGCCUAAAGUCAACGAGUGCCACAAGGAUAUAUAUAGAUCUGGAUAUACCAGAAACACAAGAACUUCUUGAUAGGAACUCAGCCGAAGAAACCUUACCAAAGAUGGGCAGUAUAGAUAGAAGUAAUCAAGGAACACUAGAAGAACAUAUGUUUUAUAGGAGGAGAACAUUAGAAGAACUUACUACAAUGAGGCACGGAAACCAGUCAGAUCAGGAUUUUGUGUUCACCGUCAUAGCUACAGUGGAUCGUUUGCAAGAAGAUAUUCAAUGGUGGUACCGUGUUCGACUCCAAAUUAGUGACCAUACAUCUACUACAAGUUGCACUUUAUUUGAUGAGGAGGCUGCAAGAUUGCUUAAUACAUCUGCAUCUAAGUUGCUGGACACACAGGAUGGGAAAUCGGAAGAAGCGCCAAAGAUUAUUCAACAAUUAUGUGGCAAAAGACUCAUAUUUAGAUUCAAGCUCAAUGAUAAUAAUCUCACAUUUGGCACACAAAACUAUGCCGUAAAAAGAACAUUUGUGCCUGAUGAUAGGCUUGAGAUGCUCUAUUUGGACAAUAAAGCUGAGGAGGAAUUGAUGGAUGAUGAGGUGGACACUGUGUUAAUGAAGAAGCAAAACAUGCCAGAUAGAAAGGUGAUUGAUUUUUUUAACAAUAUACACACUUCAUAUUUUAGAGAUGUAUCUAAUUUUCAAAAUGUUUAUGUUUGCAGUCACAGAAUAAUAAUGUUUCAUCUGGCAAACUUUCAUGUGAACUGGUGCCUGUGA